UACGCAGGGAGAACAGCCACAUGCCCAGAGAGUGCUCUACUAGCUAUCUUUGGCACCCGUGCCAUAGAUUCACUAUCACUGCUCUAAGACUUUAAGAAAACCUUAUAUUAAUUCCUACUUGAAGACAGAUGACAAAUUCUAGGAAGUUGUCUGAGGCACAAAGAAGUUAGUUAAAUGAUUUCUCCAGGGAUACAUAGAUUUGAGGCGAGAUUUGGACCCUAGUCUUCCUGAUUCGAAGCCCCUCCACCCCCAGUUGAUCUCCUACUAUUGAUUAUGCAUACAUAUGCAGAGUAAAUAGACAUAAAGAUGGGUAUAUCCAAAAUUGAAGUCAAUAAUUAUUUCUCUUAAUAAUAUCAUAGAUCAAUCAUGGGUUUUAGAACACAAAAGGGCCUUUAAGGUCAUCCAGUCUAUACCCCUAAAUUUACCAAUGAAGAAACUGAGGCCUGGGAAGUGCGAAAAUUAAAUUAACUUCCCUGCCCAUUUUUAGAUGUAAUUACAUCCCACUUAAAUCAUUGAGUGGGGGAAGUCUGUGACCCACGUGUACAAUAGUGGGUGACAAAUCAGAAUCAAACUCACUGCCCCCUGGGCAGUCCUAAGCAAAGCUUCAACUGUAAUUGGUAGAUGUAAAAGUGGAGGAAGGCACAGGAAGUGACACAAAAGAAAGUGUCUUUAAAAGGAGUUACAAUUUCCUGUGGCCAAGACUUCUUCUGGAGUUCUGAAGUUCUUUGUGCUUGGGGCUUCUAACUGCUCUCAUUCUGUGGAGUUCUGAGUUUGAGUUGGAAGCUGGUGAAGAUUCUGCUGACUGGACCCGAGACCCUGUACUUGGUGUGACUAUUCUUAAAUCUCUCCCUUUGGACUGACACGUGAUAAAUUCAUCUGUUUUAACAUUGCUCUUUCUUCCCUUUGGGAGGGAUUUGAGCUAUGCUCAACUGCUCCUUCUGACAAUGAAUUGUUUGACAAUCUACAUCCUGUCCUAUUAAUCCAGAUAAAAUACAGACUCCUUAGCCUGGAAUUUAAGGCCCUUCACAGCCUGAUCUCAACUCACUUUACUUCUCUUCAUGACUUCACCAGGAAUAAUGGAAAGAGCACUGGAUUUGGAAACAGAUGGCAUGGGUUCCAAUUAAAACUCUUACUUAAAGCAAUGUGAUUUCUUUACUCUAUCAGGCUUAGUUUCCUUAUUUGUAAAUGAAGGGGUUGGUUUAGACCAGAAAUGUCAGACAUAAAAUGUAAUUAAUAUUUUUUUUAAUCCUUACCUUCUAUCUUAGAAUCUCUACUGUAUAUUGGUUCCAAGACAGAAGAGCAGUACUGGUUAGGCAAUGGGGGUAAUGGAUAAGUUGCCCAGGGUCACAUAGCUAGGAAGUGUCUGAGGCCACAUUUGAAUCUAGGAUGUCCUAUCUGUAGGCCUGGCUCUCAAUUCAGUGAGCCACCUCACUGCCCUCCAUAAUUGGGAAACUUUUAAUGAAAUAAAUAAAAAUAAAAUAGGCCAUAUAUAUGUUAAUAUGUGGUUUGGGGAGUCAUUAUAUGACCCACAGAGAUCCUUUGGUGGCCCAUUUCUAUUUGACACCACCCAUCUAAAAGACAUCUGAAUAUAAAACCCAGUGGAAUUGAGUGUUGGCUAUGGGAGGGAUAAGGGGGAGGGGAGGAAAGAAUAUAUCUCUGUAACCAAGGAAAAAUAUUCUAAAUUGACUAAAUAACUGACUAAAUUGACUAAGAAAAAAUAAAGGAAAUUAAAAAUAAAUAAAUAAAUGAAGUGUAAAGUCCUUAAGAAAUAAAUAAAUGAAUAAAUAAAUUAAAGACAUCUGAGGUUCCUUCCAACUCAAAAUCUAUGAUAUAAACUCUACAUUGUAGUCCAACUGGACCAAGAGAUGCCUUCUGAAUUUGCACCCAUUACUACACUGUUCCAUGUCUAGAACAUACACUUUCCUCAUCAGAUUCUAAGAAGCCUCCUCUGUGAAGCCCUCAUGAGUCUAUACCUAUCCCUACUUGUUAGAAUCCUCUCCCUUAACAUGCCCUGUAUUACAUUUUCCCCUGCACGUGCUGAAUCUCACACCCCCAUCAUUUGCCUAAUGAGAUGCUGUUGGGAGCCUUUAUGCUAACAUUCAAGUGCUACUAUGAUGUACAUGUAUAUGUAUAUGGCUAUGCAAAAAUAAAAUGGAUUGUCUCUUGAGAGAAUGAACUACUUAUUCCCAGAAGACAAGACAAGCAGAGGCAAGAGGGCAAUCUGUUAGGGAUGUAAAGCAUCUCUCUGCAGAGGUUUUUCCUACAUAGGGCAGGCACCUGGACUUCAGGACCUGCAAGGCUCCUCCCAUGUCCUAAGAUUCUCUCUCUCUACAGUCUAUCCUAAUAUUUUAGAUCAUCUAACUUAUUUGCUAAAAAGGAUAAAAAACUAAAUGAAAAGCCUCAUCAGAAAGAUCAUAAUCAGAAGGGAGCUCAAACAUCUAGGAUCCAAAAUCCUUGCCUGUUAAUUUGUAGUCUGGAAAAUAGAUCUCAAGGGGCAUGCCACAAGAAGGAUGGUACCAAAAGACAGGUAAUUACCUGGGCCUGUUCAUCUUCUUCCAAAACAAAGUUUCAAUAAAAAUAAAGUCUUUAUAUUUAAUAAUGUCACAAAGGGGAAAAAAAUGCAGAAUCGUGUAGUAAUAAAAAGGCUAAAGGAGCUACAUACUAGAGUGAGAGGAGAGAAAUACAGUGUAAGAAGGCUGCAGACGUAGGAAGCAACCAGGAUAGGAGACUGAAAUCCCAAAGAAAAUCAUUUCUACUUGAUUCCAAAGGCAACAGCAAGCCCAUGGAGUUCAGUGGCAGGGGGGGAGCCAUGCUUAGGCCUCAAAGUUAGAAAACAUAGUUUGGUAGCCAAGGGGAGAGACUAUGGACAGGACAUCAAUUAGGAGGCCUGACACAAGGAGAGAGAACAUAAAGAACAUUGAUAAUCAAUGGGAUAUGUGGAGUGGGAGAGAAGAGUCAAGGACGACACCUGGGCAACUGGGAAUACCAUAGGAAACAAAAGUAAAAGAGAAUAUAAAAAAGCAGAAGUGUCAGGGGAAAUAUGAUGAGCUCUGUUUUGGCUAUGCCCUAAGCAAGACACCUCAAGUGAGGGGAUGAUUUAGUUUAGUGAGGAGCUUUUAAGGUUAGGGGAGAUCUCAGUAUGUCUGAUAGCAAAAGGGAAAGGAAUCAGGAGAAAGAGAGAUUAGUGAUUAAAAAAGAAAAAAAGAGGGAUAGCCAGGUGACUCAGUGCUUUGAGAAUCAGGCCUGGAGUCAAGAGGACUGGGUUGAAAUCUGGCCUCAGACACUUCCUAGCUGUGUGAUCCUGAGCAAGACCCUUAACCCCAGAAUCACUCUUCUGUUUCAGAACCAAUACUUAGUAUCAAUUCUAAGACAGAAGGUAAGGGUUAAUAAAAAUUUUUAUAGAUAUUAAUGUAUAUUUCAAUAGUUUUCUAAAAAACAAUUCAUAGCUGCUCUAGCAAACUAAUAUUGCUAAAUUAUAAACUAUUCAUACUCUUUAAUCUAGGGACCCUGUUACUAGGAUUAGGGCCUUAGGGCAUCAUUAAGAGGAUAAA